UGGAAAGCGAAUAAGGGCGCAUAGGGGAUAUCUGGGCAACUGGUGCCGAAGAAAGACGUGUCACACUGCGAAAAGCUCUGGUGAGGUGUGUGAGACCGCAAGAACUAGAGAUAUCUGAAUGGGGAAACCCGGUAGGGGUCAUGCCCUACCAUUCCGAGAGGAAAGGGAACCCGGGGAACUGAAACAUCUCAGUACCCGGAGGAAAAGAGAAGAUUCUGCGAGUAGUGGCGAGCGAAAGCGGAAGAGCCCAAACCGGUCAGUUUACUGAUCGGGGUUGUAGGACACCAGAAGCGGACAUGGAAGGCUGCGGAAUAACCUGGGAAGGUUAACCGAAGAGGGUGAGAGUCCCGUAGGCAGACGGAAGUGAAAGCGGGUGUAUCCUGAGUACCACGGCGUACGCUAAUGUUGUGGGAAGCUGGGCCGCCCACGGUCCAAGGCUAAAUACACCAGUUGACCGAUAGUGAAAAAGUACCGUGAGGGAAAGAUGAAAAGAACCCCGGCGAGGGGAGUGAAAGAGAACUUGAAACUGUGCGCUUACAACCGGUCGGAGGGGGGCAACCCCUGACGGCGUGCCUUUAGGAGAAUGAGCCAGCGAGUCAAUUCAUGUGGCGAGCUUAAGGCAGUGACAGCCGAAGGCGAAGCGAAAGCGAGUCUGAAUAGGGCGUCAAGUGGCAUGAAUUGGACACGAAACCGUGUGAGCUAACCAUGGGCAGGCUGAAAGUGCGGUAACACGCACGGGAGGGCCGAACCCACCAAUGUUGCAAAAUUGGGGGAUGACCUGUGGUUAGAGGUGAUAUGCCAAACGAACACGGAGAUAGCUUGUUCUCCCCGAAAUAGCUUUAGGGCUAGCGUUGCGUGAUAAGUGAUGGAGGUAGAGCACUGAAUGGGCUAGGGGGCGUCUAGCUUACCGAACCCAAUCAAACUCCGAAUGCCAUCAUAUUUAACGCAGCAGUCGGACGGUGGGAGAUGAGUUUCAUCGUCGAAAGGGAAACAACCCAGACCCCCAGCUAAGGUCCCGAAGUGUAUGUUAAGUGGAAAACGAUGUGAUUGUGUCGAGACAGCCAGGAGGUUGGCUUAGAAGCAGCCACCCUUUAAAGAGUGCGUAACAGCUCACUGGUCAAACGCAGUUGCGCGGAUAAUGUAACGGGGCUCAAACAUACCACCGAAGCUAGGGAUAUCGAGAGAUAUGGUAGGGGAGCGUUGAACGAGCGGCGAAGGCGGCCUGGCAAGGGUCGUUGGAGCGAGUUCAAGUGCGAAUGCUGGCAUGAGUAGCGAGAAAUGCGUGAGAACCGCAUUGGCCGAAAGUCUAAGGUUUCCGACGGAAGGUCAGUCCGCGUCGGGUUAGUCGGGCCUAAGCCGAGGCCGAGAGGCGUAGGCGAUGGACAACGGGUUAAUAUUCCCGUACCAGUAACAUGUUGGUGAGGAAACUCUGGAGGAAGCUCAGCCACUGAGUGGAUUGUGGUUGCAAGCGGGGGAAGCCCGCGAUGCCGUGCCAUAAUGGCAAGAAGUGAGACGUACUCCGGGGCGAGAAAAGACCGAACUGUAAAUGUUAUUGACCGUACCGCAAACCGACACAGGUAGACGGGUAGAGGAUACUAAGGCCAACGGGAGAACCUUCGUUAAGGAAUUAGGCAAAAUGGAUCCGUAACUUCGGGAUAAGGAUCACCCCUGAGAGGGGGUCGCAGUGAAAAGGCUCUGCCGACUGUUUACCAAAAACACAGGUCUCUGCCAAGCCGAAAGGCGAAGUAUAGGGGCUGAAGCCUGCCCAGUGCCGGAAGGUUAAGUGGACGUGUGCAAGCACUGAAAUGAAGCCCCGGUGAACGGCGGCCGUAACUAUAACGGUCCUAAGGUAGCGAAAUUCCUUGUCGGGUAAGUUCCGACCCGCACGAAAGGCUUAACGAGUGGAGCACUGUCUCAACGAAGGACCCGGCGAAAUUGAAGUAUGCGUAAAAAUGCGUAUUACCUGCAGCAGGACAAAAAGACCCCGUGGAGCUUUACUGUAGCCUGUCAUUGCGUUAGGGUACAACUUGUGUAGGAUAGCUGGGAGACUAGGAAGCGUGGACGCCAGUCUGCGUGGAGUCGCCGUUGAAAUACCAGCCUGGUUGCACUUUGACCCUAACCCGCCCUUUCACAGAGGGGGGGACAGUGACUGGUGGGCAGUUUGACUGGGGCGGUCGCCUCCUAAAGAGUAGCGGAGGCGCCCAAAGGUUGGCUCAGACGGAAUGGAAACCCGUCAAAGAGUGUAAAGGCAAAAGCCAGCUUGACUGGGAGAGAGACACCUCGACCAGAGACGAAAGUCGGGCUUAGUGAUCCUACGGCGCUGAGUGGAAAGGCCGUAGCUUACCGGAUAAAAGCUACCCCGGGGAUAACAGGCUAGUCUUGUCCAAGAGUUCACAUCGACGACAAGGCUCGGCACCUCGAUGUCGGCUCAUCGCAUCCUGGGGCUGGAUAGGGUCCCAAGGGUUGGGCUGUUCGCCCAUUAAAGCGGUACGUGAGCUGGGUUCAGACCGUCGUGAGACAGGUCGGUCUCUAUCCGCUGCAGGCGUUGGGAAUUUGAGAGGAGCUGCCCCUAGUACGAGAGGACCGGGGUGGACGAAGCGCUCGUGUGCCAGUUGUCACGCCAGUGGCAUAGCUGGGUAGCGACCUUCGGAUGGGAUAACCGCUGAAAGCAUCUAAGUGGGAAGCCCACCUCAAGACGAGAUUCCCCAUCCCGUAAAGGGAGUAAGACCGCUGGAAGACGACCAGUUGGAUAGGCGGGGGGUGGAAGCGCAGUAAUGUGUGUAGCUGACCCGUACUAAUGGUCGAGGGCUUUUGAUU
rnacentral:rRNA from 1 species